ACCCUCUGGCACGCACACACGCGUGCUCACUCACGCUCACGCCCUCCGCCCAGCCAGAAGCGUGGCCCCCUCCAUUCCUUCUGCUGCAAAGCCAGCCACUUUGCUCGCAGCCUCACUGCCAUAGGAACAAAGCCCCAGAAGGUCUGGCCUCCUGAUGAACGUCCUUUGGGUGAGGCUUUAACAUCCUGAGUCACCAGGCUUGUGGGGGGAGAUGGCCUGCCCUGGCCUUUCUCUCUUGCAGGAGGAAAGGUCGCCCCGGAGCAGGGGACUGGACCCUCUGGGCUGGGGGCUCAAGAAGCUGAUGUGAAGAGGAGCAGUGAGAACCAGCCAGUGGGGGAGGAACACAGGCCCUAAGCACCCCGCAAGGACCACCCCUUCCCUCCAGCACCUCCGCUUUUGUCUGUCUUUCCUCGAAGAGCUCCGACCUGCUGCCCUCCCACUUCCAGAAGCCCAGGCCACCCCCACCCCCAGAUGAGCCCUCCCGCACAAACCCUGAACCCUAAAGCAGCUGAAGCACCCAGCUCCCUUCUGGAAGCCUGAGAGCUGAUGGGGUCUCUGUUUCACAGCCGCUCUGUCCCGCCCGCGCAGGGACAGCCCAGCUGCUUUACUGUUUCCCGGACACAGGCGUUACUCGUUACUCCGAGAUUUCCCGCUUCACAGCCCAGGGGCUCCAGCCCUCUCCAGCCUUUGGUGAAGCCGCCAGCACCCCCCCCCCCAACCGUUUGGCUCUAUUCCUCCGACCCCUCCCUAGCCAAGGCCCCCAGCCCUCCAGACCGUUGCAUGGCCCUAACCGAAAAGGGUUCAGGAGCUCAGUGAGCCUGUCCUCUGCUCCACCCAUGGCCACGCUGGCAGGGAGGGGCCAGCUCUGGGACCAGAUGUGGGGUUUUUCCUCCCCGCCUCGCAGGGAGCUGGGAGCGAAGCCCCGGGACAGGGGCGGGGGGUGGAGGGGCGGGUGCGGUGCGGGCCGCGGGGCCACGUGCAGGCUGUCGCCGAGGGCACCUGGGCCGCAACAUCUCCUGAGCGCCCGCCCGCCUCCGCCGCUCUGCGGUUUGCAGCCUCGCAUCUCCCGGCCCGUCUCCGGGGCUCCCCGCUUGACCUCCAUCUGCUUCAGGCCCCCAGCCCUCCGCAAAGGGGUCUCGGCGGGGAGCUGGGCCCUGCCCCCUCCUUGGAUCUCGCGCUCGGAAGCCGCCAGCGGAGGGCGGAGGGCGGGCGCUCCUUCCGCCGUCGGAUGGCGCGGGGUGGUGACACCUGAGACCCCGCUCCACCCCUCCCCUCCCCGGGGCACCCCGUCUCCCUCCGACACGGGCGGCAGCGCGGCGCGCUGGGCUCCGCGCCUCGCGUCCCCGCCCCGCUCCCCCGCCCCUGCGGCGAUCCCCCGGGGGUUCGGGGAGCCGCGCGACCGAGAAAGCGCCUUAAUAAAGAGCUCGUGUCAAGUGAUUGGCUGUGACCUCUGCCCUCCCCGGCCUCGCGCCCGGGGCUCUUGCUUAACCCUUGGAUGCCCGCCCGACCCAUUAAGAGGAAGGAGU